rnacentral:lncRNA from 13 species
ACCACUGGGGGAUCCAUGUAGACUUAUGUGCCUGAAAGAGAAGUGAAUUCCCUUUAUUUGGUUGGUUGGAGGGGUAUAUGUAAAUGAGACGUGCAUUCCCUUUAUUGGUUGGAGGGGUAUAUGUAAAUGAGACGUGCAUUCCCUUUAUUGGUUGGAGGGGUAUAUGUAAAUGAGACGUGCAUUCCCUUUAUUGGGUGGAGGGGUAUAUGUAAAUGAGACGUGCAUUCCCUUUAUUGGGUGGAGGGGUAUAUGUAAAUGUUUCACUUAUUUUUUCCUCAUUGUCUCACCAUUGUUACAAACCGAUUGCUUUUUUUGUUUUGUAUUUACUAAAUUGUAUACUUAAGGCCAUUGGUGUCUCCCUCACCCCUUGUGUAUAGCGCAAUGAUACGGUAGCACAGGCUGCCAAACAGUGAUCGUCUGUCAGCUCAAGGGUGGCAGUAGUAGGCCAGCCAUUCACUUAGGCAUUUUUGUAGGUUAAGGUUGUCGAUUUUAUUUUUUUUAAGUAGUAAGGUUCAGUCUCUCUCUGUGGAACAACAGCACUGUAGCUAGUUUUUUGGGGAAGGAAACCUCUCAGUAUUGGCCAAAGUGUGUGAUACAACCCAAGGCAGUUGGAUCAUCGCGAAGCAGAAUAGCCGACAGAUCAUGUUGAAGCCCUUCAAACCUGAUGUGUAAAAGUUACUAUUCACUUUCAUGGACAGUGGAACAUCCCUUGGCUCACGUUGAACAAUCUCGUUGAUACUGUUUUAGAUGGGCACUCAACAUUGUCACAUUUUUUUUUUUUACACCAGUUGGCAAUUUCCUAAUAAAGGAGCCAUUGUUUCCGUAUGGCCGAGGUCUAAACAAAGAUGGCUGAUGACGCAAAUGACUGCUUCCUGUUAAACCAUGCUAGGUCAUCAGUUGUACACGCAUGAUGAGGUACUUAUGGGUUACACAUGGUUUGCAUUGUAACUCACUCACUAGCGCUGCACAAGGUAUUUGACACGAACACUGGUGUUGCAUCCGAAUUUUAGCAGUGGAACACCUGAGGUCUUUGGGACGAGAUGCCAUUUUGUGCAUGAUGACAAGGUCUAAACCUCCAACUCCCAGAGUUUGACUUACAGUCUGGUUGUACACUAUAGACUUUCCUAAAGGGGUUACUCACAGAGCCCAUGUUGGCAGCAUUCAUAUAGGUCCUAAUGUUGGAGCAACAAACUUAAACAGGUGUAAUAAUAGUCCCAGAGAUGUAUGGGUGGAGUGUUUGGCUUUAAGUCACACACGUCAAAAGUCCUUAAAAGAAGCUUGCUGAAUGUGUUCCUAUCGCUAACCUGCUGGAUAAGGAGUCAACACAUUUUUAAAAUGUUUUGAUUUUAUUCAAGUCAAAUUAGAAGAUAAAACACGUAUUAAUCAACAGAAAUACAGAUAAAUGUACAAUGCAGCCCUCGACUCAUUUUAAUCCGCGUGUCCUGUUCAGAAAGUGAUUCUAAAAAUGUCCCUAGAUUUAGAACCAUGAGUCAUGUUCACCUGCAUCAACAAAUGCCUUCUGUUGGAUCACUGGGCCUUUUCGCAGUUAAAAGAGACACAGUAAAAUAAAGUCUGGUGACUGUGAUUGGCUCUCUUGCUUGCCUUUCUAAACAUGUAUUUCUGAUCAUUGGACCCUCCCCCCACAGCACUCUGUAGAUCGCCUGGGUGCCAGUCUGUUUCUGCCGU